GAGCGCACGUUCCUUGGCUGCGCGAACCAACUACAUUGUUCUCGUGCCAUUAUAAUACUUGAAUAACUACAACUUUCAUAUAUUUUUUACACGUUAUUAGGUUAACAUACUACUUAACAAACUAUUAAAUAAAUAAAGUCAGUGUUCCCAUCUAGGGAACACUGUUGGACUUCUAUACCUGUCCUACUUCGUAUGCCACAGUUUUGAACCUGGAUCCGGACAACAUAGUGAAGUCACACGUGUCAGGAGAUUGGGAACCGAAGGGAUGUACGGUAUUUCUGGGACCGAGACUCUGCGAGCAAAUUAUGGCCUCGGCUUUACCCUCGACCUCUUAAAAUCUUUAUUAAAUAUAAUUUAAAUAUAGUUUUAAAAUUG